rnacentral:rRNA from 1 species
GGUUAAGCGACUAAGCGUACACGGUGGAUGCCCUGGCAGUCAGAGGCGAUGAAGGACGUGCUAAUCUGCGAAAAGCGCCGGCGAGGUGAUAUGAACCCUUGACCCGGCGAUGUCCGAAUGGGGAAACCCAGUGCAAUCCGUUGCACUAUCGUUAACUGAAUACAUAGGUUAACGAGGCGAACCGGGGGAACUGAAACAUCUAAGUACCCCGAGGAAAAGAAAUCAACCGAGAUUCCCCCAGUAGCGGCGAGCGAACGGGGAGCAGCCCGGAGUCUGAAUCAGCUUGUGUGUUAGUGGAACGGUCUGGAAAGUCCGACGGUACAGGGUGAUAGUCCCGUACACGAAAGCACACAUGCUGUGAACUCGAAGAGUAGGGCGGGACACGUGGUAUCCUGUCUGAAUAUGGGGGGACCAUCCUCCAAGGCUAAAUACUCCUGACUGACCGAUAGUGAACCAGUACCGUGAGGGAAAGGCGAAAAGAACCCCGGCGAGGGGAGUGAAAAAGAACCUGAAACCGUGUACGUACAAGCAGUGGGAGCCUCUUUAUGGGGUGACUGCGUACCUUUUGUAUAAUGGGUCAGCGACUUAUAUUCUGUAGCAAGGUUAACCGUAUAGGGGAGCCGAAGGGAAACCGAGUCUUAACUGGGCGUUAAGUUGCAGGGUAUAGACCCGAAACCCGGUGAUCUAGCCAUGGGCAGGUUGAAGGUUGGGUAACACUAACUGGAGGACCGAACCGACUAAUGUUGAAAAAUUAGCGGAUGACCUGUGGCUGGGGGUGAAAGGCCAAUCAAACCGGGAGAUAGCUGGUUCUCCCCGAAAGCUAUUUAGGUAGCGCCUCGUGAACUCAUCUUCGGGGGUAGAGCACUGUUUCGGCUAGGGGGCCAUCCCGGCUUACCAACCCGAUGCAAACUACGAAUACCGAAGAAUGUUAUCACGGGAGACACACGGCGGGUGCUAACGUCCGUCGUGAAGAGGGAAACAACCCAGACCGCCAGCUAAGGUCCCAAAGUCAUGGUUAAGUGGGAAACGAUGUGGGAAGGCACAGACAGCCAGGAUGUUGGCUUAGAAGCAGCCAUCAUUUAAAGAAAGCGUAAUAGCUCACUGGUCGAGUCGGCCUGCGCGGAAGAUGUAACGGGGCUAAACCAUGCACCGAAGCUGCGGCAGCGACACU